rnacentral:tRNA from 1 species
GAGAUUCUAUCUUAAUAAAAGUAUUUGAGUUGCAUUCAGAAGAUGUGGGUUAGUAUCCUACGAGUCUUA